GCCUACUGUUUAAUUUUGAAAGUUCUUUACGAACUUUAUAUAUGGGGGUGUAGCUCAGUUGGGAGAGCACUUGCCUUGCAAGCAAGGGGUCAGGAGUUCGACUCUCCUCAUCUCCACCAUUUAAGAGUAUAUUACUUAAAUCUUUGAUUUACUUAGUAGCCUCUUACAAUGCACUUAUAGCUUAAAUUUAUACAAGCUUUGUGUGUUAGCACUUUAAGCAAUGGGAUUUAUCCGUUGGCGCUGUGCGUUAGCACUUUGAAAACUGCAUAUAUAUAUUUAGUGAUAUGACAUCUAAUUUGUAAUAUAUAAAGCUGAUAACUUUUUAAAACUAUCGAAGUUGAUAGCUUCUAAUCUAUCAAACCUUUUUAACUGGUCAA
rnacentral:tRNA from 1 species